rnacentral:rRNA from 1 species
GAUGAACGCUGGCGGCGUGCCUAAUACAUGCAAGUCGAGCGAACAGAUAAGGAGCUUGCUCCUUUGACGUUAGCGGCGGACGGGUGAGUAACACGUGGGUAGCCUACCUAUAAGACUGGGAUAACUUCGGGAAACCGGAGCUAAUACCGGAUAAUAUUUCGAACCGCAUGGUUCGAUAGUGAAAGAUGGUUUUGCUAUCACUUAUAGAUGGACCCGCGCCGUAUUAGCUAGUUGGUAAGGUAACGGCUUACCAAGGCGACGAUACGUAGCCGACCUGAGAGGGUGAUCGGCCACACUGGAACUGAGACACGGUCCAGACUCCUACGGGAGGCAGCAGUAGGGAAUCUUCCGCAAUGGGCGAAAGCCUGACGGAGCAACGCCGCGUGAGUGAUGAAGGUCUUCGGAUCGUAAAACUCUGUUAUUAGGGAAGAACAUACGUGUAAGUAACUGUGCACGUCUUGACGGUACCUAAUCAGAAAGCCACGGCUAACUACGUG